rnacentral:snRNA from 1 species
GUGCUCACUUUGGCAGCACGUAUACUAAAAUUGGAAUGAUACAGAGAAGAUGAGCAUGGCCCCUGCACCAGUAUGACAUGCAAAUUCGUAAAGUGUUCCGUAUUUUU